rnacentral:rRNA from 1 species
CGGACGGGUGAGUAACACGUGGAUAACCUACCUAUAAGACUGGGAUAACUUCGGGAAACCGGAGCUAAUACCGGAUAAUAUAUUGAACCGCAUGGUUCAAUAGUGAAAGACGGUUUUGCUGUCACUUAUAGAUGGAUCCGCGCCGCAAUAGCUAGUUGGUAAGGUAACGGCUUACCAAGGCAACGAUGCGUAGCCGACCUGAGAGGGUGAUCGGCCACACUGGAACUGAGACACGGUCCAG